CUCCAGAUGUUGCUGAACUACAACUCCCAUAAUUUUCUGCCUAUUUCAUUUAUUGAAUCAUGGGAGUUGUAGUUCAGCAAUAUCUGGAG